rnacentral:rRNA from 1 species
AGAGUUUGAUCAUGGCUCAGGAUGAACGCUAGCGGCAGGCUUAAUACAUGCAAGUCGUGGGGCAGCAGGACUGUAGCAAUACAGUUGCUGGCGACCGGCAAACGGGUGCGGAACACGUACGCAAUCUACCCAAAACUGGUGAAUAGCCUUCCGAAAGGAAGAUUAAUACACCGUAACCUAAUUGUAGUGGCAUCACUAUAUUAGUAUAGCUCCGGCGGUUUUGGAUGAGCGUGCGGCUGAUUAGAUAGUUGGUGUGGGUAACGGCCCACCAAGUCUGCGAUCAGUAACUGGUGUGAGAGCACGACCAGUCACACGGGCACUGAGACACGGGCCCGACUCCUACGGGAGGCAGCAGUAAGGAAUAUUGGUCAAUGGACGCAAGUCUGAACCAGCCAUGCCGCGUGAAGGAUGAAGGUCCUCUGGAUUGUAAACUUCUUUUAUAGGGGACGAAACCUCUUUUUCUAAAGAGACUGACGGUACCCUAGGAAUAAGCACCGGCUAACUCCGUGCCAGCAGCCGCGGUAAUACGGAGGGUGCAAGCGUUAUCCGGAUUCACUGGGUUUAAAGGGUGCGUAGGAGGGCAGGUAAGUCAGUGGUGAAAUCUCUGGGCUCAACUCGGAAACUGCCGUUGAUACUAUCUGUCUUGAAUACUGUGGAGGUGAGCGGAAUAUGUCAUGUAGCGGUGAAAUGCUUAGAUAUGACAUAGAACACCAAUUGCGAAGGCAGCUCACUACACAUAUAUUGACUCUGAGGCACGAAAGCGUGGGGAUCAAACAGGAUUAGAUACCCUAGUAGUCC